UAGACUUGCAAUGGUUGCCACGAACGUCGGAUCCCCCUUCAUGAUCCCCCUGACAACCUACAUAGCUGAAAGUUGUGCUUGGAUCUGUCUGUGUGGCAUAGUCACCAUAGGUACCAUGCAAGCUCACCACGAACGUCGGCUCCCCCUUCUUGUUCCCCUUGACAACCUGCAUAACUGAGAGUUGUGCUUGGAUCUAUCCGUGUGGCAUAGUCACCGUAGGUACCAUGCAAGCUCCUUCUUGCUCCAUAACCAAGAGACGUUGGAGGUAGGGAUCGAUCAAAGUAUGACAAUGUCUAAAGAACUCUUGCCCCAGUAUGAUGUCAAAGAUAUCC
rnacentral:lncRNA from 1 species